rnacentral:siRNA from 1 species
CUGAAUAGUUAUCGUGUAAGCCU